UGGAGAUGAUUCCAAGACUUUCCAGGACAACCUCUGCCCCAGAAGAUGUGGAGGAGUGUUGCAGUAUAAAUUACAGUAGGCAGCGGUUCAUUCAAGCUUGAUCUGGCUGUUCUACCUUUCGAAGGCUUUUGCUAAAAGACCAACAUAAAAAAAAGCUUCACAGGUCUGUGACGAUGCCUCUGUGAGGAGGUCAUGAAAACAGACCUGUCUGCUGGUACUAAUGGACAGAGAAGGAGUUCCUGCUGCCAGGGGCAGGACAUCUGGCUGAGUGCCAGUCAAAGGAGGAUCUCAGAACUUACAUGAGUCAUCAUCUUUCUUUUGCGCUGGUGUCCAGAUGCGCAGAAACCUAUCACAGCAAUGCUACUGCGCUGAAGUCUUAUGCAAAGAGUGAAGAAGUUCUUGAAAUAUAUGAUGAUAUAUGAUGCACGUUGUGCAAAAGGUGAUGUUGUAUAAAGUUAAUCUUUUGGUUUCUGUGGGACUUGGUUACGUUGGAUGGGGGACCAAUGGUUUAAAACCUUCCCUUUAAAAUUUAAAAAAGAAAUAAAAUGUUAAAAUUUAAGAAGAAGAAUAAAAUCUGUAUCUAAAUGUAAUAUUGUGCCCAGGGUGAAAAUGACACAGUGACUUUUGGGGUUACUGUCUGAUAAAUUGUAUUAAGUGUAAAUGACUAUCUGGACUAUAAUACAACAUAAAUUGCACAAAAAUGUAACCUAACCCUGUCAUCUUGUUCUCUCCCUACAAAUUGUUUUUAAUUAAAAAACAAAAAUGUAAAGACCUGUUUUCUCUUAGUUGUACAAGUUCAAGCUUGUAUUUUUCUAAACUACUUAAGUGAUUGCAGUUGCACAAUUGAUGCACAAAGUCAGAACAUCUUAAUCUAAGCACUGAACCAUAUAAACUUAAAAUGCACAUUAUAGAUGAAAGCAAUUACUAAUAGUUAGUUAUUAUUUUUUAAUGUGGUAGAACUCUUUUUUUUUCUUUUAAUACUCUUAGCUUUUUUAAGACGCUAGGUUUAGUCGAGCUGCCCAAACUGUACAAAAUUCCUCCCAUCCACAUUUCUACAGGCCCUUCUUCUCAAGAUGCGCAGAGAUUAUUCAUACCGCUCAAAUGAUUGUGUCUGCUCAAACUAGAUAACUGAGAGUUAACUGCAAGCUCAGUGAGGUUCAAGGUUGUUUGCUGGAAGUUUCUUAUCAUGAAACUGCUACUCCUUCUCUCUUCUCAUGAUGUUAGGAGCAGUGUGUGCACAUUUGUCUCUACUCUGAGUUCUCUUGCCACUGCACAUGAGAACGAUUAGUUGGCUCAACCAUAACUUUAGAAAAUAAAUAGCUUCUACUCAGAAACGGAGGCUACAUUCAGUUUUUAUAACAUUUUGAGCUUUACUUAAUCUGCAUUAAUGUGUACAACACAAAAUAUCAAUUAUAAGGUGAACUUAGAGUGAUGCAUAAAGUAAAUGAAUAAUUGUAAGUUCCUUGAUCUUCACUGGCGUAAAAAUCCAUAAAAAUGAAGAUUGUAAGUACUACUAACUCAGACGAUCAAGUACAGAACUGAGGUUGUGGGGAAUACACAUAAGCCCUAUGCAUUUAAAUACUUUAAGCACGUUUGUUUGGUCAAAAGGAACUUAUUGGAGCAUUUAAUUAGUUGUUAUUAAGACUUAAUAGAGACUUUAGCUCUUUUAAGUAUUAUUGAUAUUGUUUUAUUGUUAUUAGUUGUGGGUGAUUAUUGUUUCCUUUAGUGAAACUGGAUCCUGUUUCAUUCAUGUAAAUUUUCCAUUCACAUAUGAUUGAUUGUGUGCAGUUGAAGUGCAGCUUUAUCUGCACUUCUUUGGGGAAUCAAGUUUAAUAACUGGUGUCAGUCGUUAUUUUCUUUUGAGACAAUUAUAUUAAGUA